GAAAAAGUGACUUAAUAGUGUGCUUUGUUUCCUGUUGGUCUUUCUUUGACAUAAUAAUGAGCAACUGUACAUCUAGCUCUGAACAAACUGAGGAGAAAAGGGAGGCAGAAAAGAGAGAAAGACUGUCAGCCUUUACUUUCAAAAAACAUUUCCGGGAGAAUCACACCACAUCAUCAUGAUCAAGAAAAAAGUACAUAGUAACACGAACUAAGUCAAUGAUUCUGAAAAAUUCUACAAGAAAAUCUGAUAAGAGGCAUUAUUUCUUGACUUUUUCAUUAAAAACACGAAAAUCCAAAUCAUCCUCCAAAAGUGCUCCUUAACUCUAAGAAGGUAACAUCUCCCCCCCUGCCCACUUACAAGUGUUCUCAAGAGUGUAUUAAGCUCCAUAAGUCAGAUGAUCAGCAUUCCACUACUUGUGUCAACAGAAGCAGAGAUGACUCGGAGAUUCCAGCUUUCGCAGAAACAUUAUAAAAGUUUGAAAAUUCAGGAGAGCAUUAAGUCCAGGGGCAAGAUAUUAUGCAGGAAGUUCUCUCUGAUACAUC